rnacentral:lncRNA from 1 species
GAUGAUGCUUCCCAAGGAUCUAGGAGAUUGUCAGAUCAUCUUUGAGGUCACUCUGACUAGUCCCACUAGGAACAAGCUGCUGUUUAAAAAUAGCGACUGCAGGGGGAUGUUCCCAAGACGAAAUCAGACCUGCCAAUCAACUCCAGCCUUGGGCCUCCACAUCCACUUCCAAGAGCCCUUCAUUCUCUUUCUCAUUCGAAAUUGUUGAGAAAUAAAGAUACUCAGGGAAUGAUCAGAUAAAGAGGAACCUUCCAUGAAGCCCAUUGUGAGGUGAAAAUUUUAAAAUAUUAAUCUAUCUGAUUUGACCAAGAAAAAGAUGAUCUGAAGAGCAACGUUUCAUUUUUAUAUAUUCAGAAUGUAGAAUUUUAAUUUUGUAAACUUUCAGUUAACGUGCAAAAAGCUAAGAUUGAAUCAUUACGAUGAUCAAUAAUUUUGUUCAGGGAAACCACAAAUUAAAAUUAAACCGAAAUUCAGGAUCUCUGCUAAAAUCUUGGCCU